rnacentral:lncRNA from 1 species
UAUUUAUUCAAUGUUAGGAGAGAAUGAACUUUAUAAAUUGUAAAGUGAUAAAAUCAUUUGUUACAUACCACGAGAGGAAAUAUGGCUGAAAUUGGCAAACUAUUAGCUUGUGUUAUUAUCAUUCUUUUGCUAUUUCUUGUUGCAACAAACAUUGAAGGUAAGUCAUUCUUAACCUUUUCAAAUUUCCUUAUUUACUCCGAACACAAUAUUUUAUCACAACUAAGUUACGUUAUUUUAUUCUCUUUUUUCUCAUUACAGCGAGGAAAAGCAGUAGAUGUUUUAGUGAUUCAGAUUGUAUGAAGAACAUGUUUUGUCGACGUCCUAAGAUACAAAAGUGUAUGUACCAAUCCCUCUGCAAAUGUGUUUUGCCAGUGUUCUAAAACGAUUAUUAUGUGCCCACAUGAUUCUAUUUCGUGUCAUACCAAAGAUAUAUUGUACACAAAAGCUCAAUAAUUUGAUCUUUUUUCUAAUUUCAAGAAUAUUGUAGUUAUGGAUUUAGUAUACUCUAAGAUGAUGGUAAUGUAAUGAAAUAAAGCACCAAUUAAUAUUAUUUAGAUUGUCUUCUUCUCUUUUAAAUUUCAAAAAUGUUGCCAUGACCUUGAAUUCAAACAUAUCAUUUUUUUCUUUCCUAGCAUGCCUAUCAUAAUAUCUUUAAUAGUUAAGUUAAAAAUAGUUUUUAUAUAUGUUACUUAGUUAAGCUUAUAUAUGUUUAGAUUUAUGUCAUAAUAUUGUUACACUCAUGAUUGUUCUAAUACUUCAAUUUAUAUUUCUCUUUUAUUUAAACUUUUUUAACAGCCUCAAAGGCUUUGUUCACUUUUAAUUUUUAAAAAGAUAUGGAAAACUAGAAUGUCGUUACAAAAUUAUAACAAUCUUCUAAAAUAAUUGUGAAGAUCUUAAUUAAUUGUUUAUUUUGGUGUAUUGUCUUCAAUUUAAUAGAUCUGUAUAUAUGACUCAAUGAACCAAACUCAUUUUCCCUUGUUUUAUAGACUAAUUUGUUGUGAUUAAUUUAUUUUUUAUUUCAAAACAAAAUAUGUAUAACUAAAGCCGAUAUGAUUAUGUAAAGUAAUAAUGUAUCAUAAGAAUCAUGUGAUUUAAAAUGGUAAAUUUAUCACAGAAAAUGGUAAGAAAAAUAGGGGGAUCUAUAUUAUCCUAUGUUUAUUAGUUGAACUCUUGAAGUGAAAGUAAAAACAGGAAACAUUAAUCCCCAUGAGCUUAGCUCAGUUGAUAGGAACAUCGGACUUUAUAUGCAGGAGCCCGGAUUUCAACCUGCGACACUCCACUUUAUUCAUACAAAAAAAAGUCCUAAGCAUAUGUUAUUUUAAUAGAACUUCUUUUUUAUAGAAGUCCUACGCAUGCAUAUGUUUGGUGUAACCCCUAAUGUAUGAGGCCCUGCGCAGUGGUUCAUUUUGUACACCCAACAUGGCCGACCAUGUACAACUUAAUCUUUGAAUUUUCAUUUAUUGAUAAAUUUUAUUCUUGAAUUUAUCGAAAUAGUUAAAACAUUCUUAAUUUGUGAGUUAUAUAAAAUAUUAGUUCUUCAGCAGUUGAUUGAGGAUAAUUCAAAGAUUAAAUUGAUAUAAAUUAUGAUAAUUGAGGGAUGCAAUUGAUCAAUCGAGAGAGUGAUUAGAUUUAAUUUUCACAAAUCGAGCGACAUUUUAGUUAUUUCGAUAAAUAUAGGAAUGGAAUUGGUCGAUGAGUGAAAAUCAAGGAGUAAGUUGUUUAUUUACUUAAUAAAAAUUAUUUUAAACUUUCCACACUCACACCGGUUGUGACUUGAAGAUUCUAAUUUCGAAUUCUUUAGUGUAU